rnacentral:lncRNA from 1 species
GAGCAGCUCCUCCCAACAGAUGGGCUGUGAAAACACCUCUCUCUCGAGCCAGAGCUCAUAUGAAUAGUGGAAAUCUUCAGGCAGAUCCAACCUCUGCCCCAGUACGCUCUGCAAGCAGUUAUCCACAGGUGAAAACUCAGAGUCCUGGGGUCUGUCAUAGCGACGGCUGUUAAAAGCCUCAAUGUUGGCCCUCAAGGUACAUUCUUCUGCUUGGAAGUCCC